rnacentral:rRNA from 1 species
AGAUUAAGUUAUCAAGGGCGCACGGUGGAUGCCUUGGCACUAGAAGCCGACGAAGGACGUUACUAACGACGAUAUGCUUUGGGUAGCUGUAAGUAAGCGUUGAUCCAGAGAUUUCCGAAUGGGG